rnacentral:rRNA from 1 species
CCCUUAGAUGUUCUGGGCCGCACGCGCGCUACACUGAUACAUGCAACGAGUUUAUAACCUUGAUCUGACGGUCUGGGUAAUCUUCAAACUGUAUCGUGUUAGGGAUCGAUUCUUGCAAUUUUUAAUCGUAAACGAGGAAUUCCUAGUAAGCGCGAGUCAUCAGCUCGUGCUGAUUACGUCCCUGCCCUUUGUACACACCGCCCGUCGCUGCAACUGAUUGGGUGACCUGGUGAACAUCUUGGACCGGCCCACUCAAUUUCGAGAGGACUGGAAAAGGCCGUAAAUCAGGUACAUCUAGAAAUUGCAAAAGUCGUAACA